rnacentral:rRNA from 1 species
AUACAGAGGGUGCAAGCGUUAAUCGGAAUUACUGGGCGUAAAGCGAGCGCAGGUUGGCUUGAUAAGUCAGAUGUGAAAGCCCCGGGCUUAACCUGGGAACGGCAUCUGAUACUGUUAGGCUAGAGUAGGUGAGAGGAAGGUAGAAUUCCAGGUGUAGCGGUGAAAUGCGUAGAGAUCUGGAGGAAUACCGAUGGCGAAGGCAGCCUUCUGGCAUCAUACUGACACUGAGGAACGAAAGCGGUGGGGAGC